AGAUUGAACGCUGGCGGCAGGCCUAACACAUGCAAGUCGAGCGGUAGAGAGGUGCUUGCACCUCUUGAGAGCGGCGGACGGGUGAGUAAAGCCUAGGAAUCUGCCUGGUAGUGGGGGAUAACGCUCGGAAACGGACGCUAAUACCGCAUACGUCCUACGGGAGAAAGCAGGGGACCUUCGGGCCUUGCGCUAUCAGAUGAGCCUAGGUCGGAUUAGCUAGUUGGUGAGGUAAUCGGCUCACCAAGGCGACGAUCCGUAACUGGUCUGAGA
rnacentral:rRNA from 1 species